CACGGGUGAGUAACACGUAUCCAACCUGCCGUCUACUCUUGGACAGCCUUCUGAAAGGAAGAUUAAUACAAGAUGGCAUCAUGAGUCCGCAUGUUCACAUGAUUAAAGGUAUUUCCGGUAGACGAUGGGGAUGCGUUCCAUUAGAUAGUAGGCGGGGUAACGGCCCACCUAGUCUACGAUGGAUAGGGGUUCUGAGAGGAAGGUCCCCCACAUUGGAACUGAGACACGGUCCAA
rnacentral:rRNA from 1 species